rnacentral:rRNA from 1 species
AUUGAACGCUGGCGGCAUGCCUUACACAUGCAAGUCGAACGAGAAAGGGGGGCAACCCCCGAGUAGAGUGGCGGACGGGUGAGUAAUACAUCGGAACGUACCCAGUAGUGGGGGACAACCUCGAGAAAUCGAGGCUAAUACCGCAUACGACCCACGGGUGAAAGCGGGGGACCGCAAGGCCUCGCGCUAUUGGAGCGGCCGAUGUCCGAUUAGCUAGUUGGUGGGGUAAGAGCCCACCAAGGCGACGAUCGGUAGCUGGUCUGAGAGGACGACCAGCCACACUGGGACUGGGACACGGCCCAGACUCCUACGGGAGGCAGCAGUGGGGAAUUUUGGACAAUGGGGGCAACCCUGAUCCAGCCAUGCCGCGUGCGGGAAGAAGGCCUUCGGGUUGUAAACCGCUUUCGGCCGGAACGAAAUCGCCGGGGAGAACAUCCCCGGUGGAUGACGGUACCGGAAGAAGAAGCACCGGCUAACUACGUGCCAGCAGCCGCCGUAAAAC